GUUUGCCCCAACAGCAAGUACACUACAAAAUUCGAACCAAACAGAGAAGACUAGCAUGGUCCCUAUGCAAAGAUAACAUGCAAAUUUGUGAAGCACUUCCUAUUUUU
rnacentral:snRNA from 1 species